GGAUUUUAGGGGGUGGAUGGAGGUACUAUAAAGUUUCACACUUUGUUGUCUUUGUUGAUCAACCCAACUGUGUUGCUUAUAUGAGUAAUCAAAUCCUUGAAUUACUUAUUUCAAAUGUCUUAUGCACAAGUAUUUCUGGUAUAAUCUCUUGUUAAUUACUCCUUUUUUGUUUAUGAACUUUCUGCAGCCAAAUGUACAGUCCAAG
rnacentral:misc_RNA from 1 species